UCCGAACAGAAACUCUCUGGGAGUUUUCUCCCUUUUCCCUUUCCUACUAUCAUGAAUAAAAAUUUCCUUUUUUUAUUUUAAAUGGCAGAGUUGAGCUCUCAAAUAAGUGUCAAACAGCUUUUUCGAAGUUCGAAUUUCCUUCUAUUGGAGGAUUUCUUUCUGGGGAGAAACCAAUUCCCGGAGGACAAACUCCCCGGGAGUAUUAAGAAUUGGGCGGUAAAUCUUUAUACCAUACAUUUAA